rnacentral:rRNA from 1 species
UACGUAGGUGGCAAGCGUUAUCCGGAAUUACUGGGCGUAAAGCGUGCGCAGGCGGUUUUGUAAGCCAGAUGUGAAAUCCCCGGGCUUAACCUGGGAAUGGCAUUUGGGACUGCAAGGCUGGAGUACGGCAGAGGAGACUGGAAUUCCUGGUGUAGCAGUGAAAAUGCGUAGAGAUCAGGAGGAAUACCGAUGGCGAAGGCAGGUCUCUGGGCUGAUACUGACGCUCAUGCACGAAAGCGUGGGGAGCAAACAGG